rnacentral:rRNA from 1 species
CCUACGGGGGGCAGCAGUGGGGAAUAUUGCGCAAUGGGCGAAAGCCUGACGCAGCGACGCCGCUUGAGGGAUGAAGGUCUUCGGAUCGUAAACCUCUGUCAGCAGGGAAGAACGGUCACUGUGCUAAUCAGCAGUGAAUUGACGGUACCUGCAAAGGAAGCACCGGCUAACUCCGUGCCAGCAGCCGCGGUAAUACGGAGGGUGCGAGCGUUAACCGGAAUUACUGGGCGUAAAGCGCUCGUAGGCGGUAUGUCAAGUCAAGGGUGAAAUCCCCGCGCUCAACGUGGGAACUGCCUUUGAAACUGGCAAACUGGAGUGUGUGAGAGGAUAGUGGAAUUCCAGGUGUAGGAGUGAAAUGCGUAGAUAUCUGGAGGAACAUCAGUGGCGAAGGCGACUAUCUGGCACAUAACUGACGCUGAGGAGCGAAAGCGUGGGUAGCAAACAGGAUUAGAUACCCGAGUAGUC